rnacentral:rRNA from 1 species
UACGUAGGGUGCAAGCGUUGUCCGGAAUUAUUGGGCGUAAAGAGCUCGUAGGUGGCCUGUCGCGUCGGCUGUGAAAACUCGGGGCUCAACUCCGAGCUUGCAGUCGAUACGGGCAGGCUAGAGUUCGGCAGGGGAGACUGGAAUUCCUGGUGUAGCGGUGAAAUGCGCAGAUAUCAGGAGGAACACCGGUGGCGAAGGCGGGUCUCUGGAACGCAACUGACGCUGAGGAGCGAAAGCGUGGGGAGCGAACAGG